rnacentral:rRNA from 1 species
CCUACGGGUGGCUGCAGUGGGGAAUAUUGCACAAUGGGCGCAAGCCUGAUGCAGCCAUGCCGCGUGUGUGAAGAAGGCCUUCGGGUCGUAAAGCACUUUCAGCGGGGAGGAAGGCGGUGAGGUUAAUAACCUCAUCGAUUGACGUUACCCGCAGAAGAAGCACCGGCUAACUCCGUGCCAGCAGCCGCGGUAAUACGGAGGGUGCAAGCGUUAAUCGGAAUUACUGGGCGUAAAGCGCACGCAGGCGGUCUGUCAAGUCGGAUGUGAAAUCCCCGGGCUCAACCUGGGAACUGCAUUCGCAACUGGCAGGCUAGAGUCUUGUAGGGGGGGGUAGAAUUCCAGUGGUAGCGGUGAAAUGCGUAGAGAUCUGGAGGAAUACCGGUGGCGAGGGCGGCCCCCUGGACAAAGACUGACGCUCAGGUGCGAAAGCGUGGGGAGCAAACAGGAUUAGAUACCCUUUAGUC